GAGCCCGUGGCUCAAUGGUAGAGCGUUCGACUCAAAUACCAAAGGUCGCCGGGUUUG
rfam:Schistocephalus solidus strain NST_G2 genome assembly, scaffold: SSLN_contig0002770